AUUCAUGUAGCUUAUUUUGUACAUGUACUGUAGUUUACGUAAGAUGAUUUUUUCCAUGGACUGGAAAGCCCAUACUGUGGAUGCACAGUGUACACAUAUAAAAUUGAACUUGCUUGACAAGUCAAGGUAUAUUGUAUAAAAAAAAGUUGUGACUUUUCUUUUACAUGUAUAUCACAAAUAUUUUUCUUUAAUUGAUAUAAUCAUCCCUUAGAAAGACGUGCUAAAUAUCUUGAUCUGUAAUUGAUCCAUCAGACAUUUUUUUCUAUUUGAUGAGUGAUGCAUAAAUUCAGAACAUGUAACAAUGGAACUUUCUUUAGUUAAUAUAAACAUGAUCUACCCUAAUGUAUAAUUAAGAUCUUCAGAUCUUAGCAAAGUUUUAACACAGUUUGACAGUUAAUGCAUUCUCACUGAGACAAUGGUCAAUGGUUUCAAUCAUUUCAUUUCCAUGAGUAUCUCAAUUGGUAUAAAAUUCAUUAGUUUCAUGUAUGAGUGUUUUCACUCCCAUUUAAAAAAGUCUCCGGGUCAGAACACGUUUCAAAAAGGGGGAUGUGUAUUCUGAAAAUGUGUGUGUUCAUGAUACCUGUACUUAAAUUAUAAUAUGCUUCUAAUAUGAUUUAAAAGAAUUGAAAUUGAUGAUUGAUGAUUGAUAUGUAUUUAAAUUCAUUUUUUGAAUACAGAUUCUGAAUAAUUUGAAAUUAUUAUGAAGAUUAGAUUUUCAAUGUAUAAAGGAAAAUUAAUGCACGUGUUGAAAUGAAAAAAAAAGCCGAUUUAUUUUGUUUGAAUUCAAAUACAUGAGAUGUAGCUACAUGUACAUGUUAUUGUUAAUAAAUACUGUAAAAAUAUG
rnacentral:misc_RNA from 1 species